CUUUAAACAAUAAACAAUAAACAAUUCAGAACAAGAUUACUUGAUUUUUUAUCUUAUAGCUUUCUAUUUGUAUGUGUAUACUGUAUGCACCUCAAUGACUCACUGUGAGUUUUAGGUCUCCAACAGAGGGCAACAUUAUCCCAGUGUUUCCCAGUGCCAAAAGCCAAGAGUAGUGAUGUAACCCCAUCAAAUAUUGCAUGUUUGGCAUGGAGUGUCUAGACUUGUCAGUGGUGGAUUCAAGGGAUGAAUGAUUAGGGAGGAGUGGCUAAGUGGGACUAUUUAGACCCUUAUCUUUGCAUGUUUUUGCAUUUCACAUUCUGGUUCAGCAGGCUGCAAGAUGUCUCCACUUUACUGUCUUGGAUUGGUUUGGCUGACUUUUGCCUUCUAUACUGUCUCUGAGACUGCCAGCAUAAGUAAUGCGACACCGAGUCCAGUCGUUGAAAGGAAAUCCGCUCUCCUGCCUUGUGGUGAAAACCGGUACAACCCCGGGACCCAGUGUUGCCUCACGAUAAAGGAAGAACUGACCGUUGUACCCCACUAUGUGGAUAAUUCCACAGCACUGGGGGUUCAGUUACAUGUUUACCGUUUAUUGAAAGAGGCCUUUGACUUAUUACGAAGAGACAAGAUUUUGGCAUGAAACUCUUCAAAAUCAUCGGAAUACAAACAUAUUAAAAAACUUUGAACCUGUCACGAAUUUCAAGAGAACCUGGCUUUUAUUGUUUUUUGAUGUCUGUCUUGUUGAGAGGUCAACAGGAUUAAUGAUGCUAGACCUGAAACCAGACUCAGCUGGUCUGAAGCUAUCGCUGUGGUCCAAGGGUUACUUUGAAUAUAAUCAAUGUUUCAUAUGAUUCUCUUUUUAUCCUGGAAUCUGUCUAUAUUACAAGUCUCUCUAUAUUUCUGUUUGGGCUAAAUGCAUGUUGUUGGUUUUUUUUUUGUUCUUUUGUUUGUUUGUCUGUUUUCGCCAUGUGGCUUUGUACUGGUGUAUCGUUGUUUUCAAUUUUGUUGUUGUGGUUGUCCUUUAUAUUAUUCUUUGUAUGUUAUUUGUGUGUACAUUAUAUGAGUCUUUGUUGUCUAGAAUUGUGUUUUAGUGUUUUGUUUCCAUAUUGUGGCUCCUAAUAAGUAAUCCACUGUUCUUUUCUUUGUAUAUUCGUUAAUAAAAAUUAUAUUUAAAAAAAAAA